rnacentral:ncRNA from 1 species
AGCAACACUAAGGUUGUUGGACUUAUGCGGUACCCUCCGCGUAGCAACUAGAACUUGCAUUGGGCUCUUUGAUAAGGAGAAAACAAAAUG